UACAGGGGGAGCAAGCGUUGUUCGGAUUCACUGGGUUUAAAGCGCGCGUAGGCGGCCACCGCAAGUCAAUUGUGAAAUCUCCGGGCUUAACCCGGAAAGGUCAGCCGAUACUGCGGGGCUAGAGUGCAGAAGGGGCAACUGGAAUUCUCGGUGUAGCGGUGAAAUGCGUAGAUAUCGAGAGGAACACCUGCGGCGAAGGCGGGUUGCUGGGCUGACACUGACGCUGAUGCGCGAAAGCUAGGGGAGCGAACGGG
rnacentral:rRNA from 1 species